GAUGAACGCUGGCGGCGUGCUUAACACAUGCAAGUCGAACGGAAAGGCCCUGAUCUUGCGGGGUGCUCGAGUGGCGAAAGGGUGAGUAACACGUGAGUAACCUGCCCCUGACUUUGGGAUAACAUCAGGAAACUGGGGAUAAUACAGGAUAGGAGCUCCUGCCGCAUGGUGGGGGUUGGAAAGUGUCGGCGGUUGUGGAUGGAUGCGCGGCUUACCAGCUUGUUGGUGGGGUAGUGGCGUACCAAGGCUUUGACGGGUAGCCGGCCUGAGAGGGUGACCGGCGACAUUGGGACUGAGGGACGGCCCAGACUCCUACGGGAGGCAGCGGUGGGGAGUAUUGCGGAAUGGGCGGACGCCUGAUACGGCAACGCCGCGUGCGGGAUGACGGCCUUCGAGUUGUGAACCGCUUUCGCCGGUAACGAAGCGUGAGUGACGGUAAUGGGUAAAGAAGCACCGGCUAACUACGUG
rnacentral:rRNA from 1 species